rnacentral:rRNA from 1 species
AUACGAUGUGCUGGUUGGCUGGGUCAACCGUUUCGUGGUGCGUGCACACCGUGUCCCUGCACGCCGCGUGCACAUCGCGCUGAUUGCGGGAGAUCGUGCGAGAGCAACACCCGUUGGUCACCGCCCCGCACAAACCCUACCCUUUCCAGUGCUCCCAAAUCGACGCAGCCGCCUCCCCUCUCCCUCCCUUCCUCCCCAAACGCGUCGGCCGCCUCCUCUCCACCUGCCAUACCGCGUCCCCGCUGCCGCCAUGGCCUCUUCAGGAGGCACGCCCGUCCAUGGUGUGAAGCAGCAGACCAGGAUCUGGAUGAGGAAGAGGAGAUCCGGGCGCCCCAACGGUGGAUCGAUCGAUGCGAGGUGACAACGAGCUCCUCCGGACGUGGGGGAGCAGCGAGGCCGGAGAUCCAGUCGGCGCAUGCGGGUCGAAUUAGCUGCAGCGCUCCGGUCCCCAAGCCGCCUCCAGGCUCGCUUCCUCCAUCCUCCCACGUCGAUUGCACCCCUCCUCCCGCAUCUCACCCAUCUCGAUGGAUGGCGUGCGGGCACAGAGGCGAGGUUCUCCGGCGGCGGCGGGAACCUCCAGGCAGAGCGACCCCAUGGAUCCGUCCCUGCAGGAGAAAAGGAAUGAGAGGAGCAGCGGCGCUGGCCUCUCCUCUCCCUGCACCGCCGCUGUCCUGCGUUGUCACUGACGUCCCCAAGUGCUUCUCUCCAGAAAUGGUGCCACCAUGUCCAGAUCAAGUCAAGCGCCAGACAUAUGGAGGAAGAUUAGUUAGUAAUGCCCAUAUGAAUUUGAACGUACAAUUUAUAGACAUCCUUCAAUUGCAUUACAAGCCCUGGAAGAGCGACACCAGCCAGGCAUUGUAUGGGAUGGAUCUAUCAUGCUGAGAUUAGUUGUAGACUUCCUUGCUGAACCCUGCAUGGAGCAAUGCAUCCCCAGUUUGCUUCCAGAGGAGGAAGGGGAAGAGAUCUGAGAGAGGAGAGGAACAGAAGAAUCCAUUAGAAGAAUUUAGUGAAGAACAAGGGCAAUGUUUAUUGACGAUUUUUUGCUUUGGAAAACACUUUCCGUAUGCUGCCUGAAAUGGAUUCUUCAUAACGUUGUCUUUGAAUUCGCACCAAAUUCAGUCACAAUUCAAUACUGAUUAAAGCAAUAGGAAUUUCACCGGCAAGUGUUUGUGAGUCGUUCUUGGCAUAUAUUGUCCUAUAGUAAUACUUGAUGUAGUUAUUGAAUCGAGAUAUCUGGAUUUAUUUACUUCCAUUUGACUUAUUCAUUCUGGGAUGAAUUUUGUGUUUGCCUGCCUUUCACCUCUACACACCAUCAUUGUUUUCUUGAUGUUGUCACCCAUGUGUUAAUGUUGUAGAAGAUGUAUCAUUUGACUUCUUUUAGGUUCUAUUUUUUUACUGAGCAUACGUGGAUGCCCAUGAAGUGUUCAUUGUUUUUUUAACAAGUAAAUAUUGAUGCACAGAAGAUUUAUAUGGUAGUUUCCAUUCUGGUUUACAUGGGUAGUACCUGAAGCUUAUUUAUAUUUCCACUCCUGUGGAUUUAUUUGAGAUUCUUGAUUCUUGACAUAUCAGGAGUUAGUGUUGGUGUUAUGUUCUACCAGAUCCAUUUUUUGCUCAUGUUUCUUAGGUUCAAUUAGUGUUCUCCAUUUUUCUAAUAAGUGAACGUGGACACAUACAGACAGUAGAGGAACAAUCACUGUUCUCUUUGUGUUUUAGCGAGUAUAUGUGGAUGCACAGAAAGCAUUAUGUUCUUGUUUACAAGGUAGUACAUGGAGCAUAUUUACUUUGUCUAAACUGUAAUAUUUAUUUUGUCUGCUUGCAUCAAAAUCGAAAUGCGGCUUUUGCUUGCUAAUAAUUUUGGUUACGGUGUGGCUGGCUACCUAUUACUCAAGAUGGUUCCAUAUUAUAUCAUCAAUUUCAGGAACCUUAUCUCAUAUGUUGCUGAUUUCAUAACAGAUUGUUGGCAUUGUAGCUUCAAGAGACAUGUAUGUUGCUUAUCUUUUGCCUACUGAGCACACAAAACAAAUGUUUCUAUGAAUAUAUGUAAGUGAAACAACAUGCUCCCAUUUUUGGUCAGUUGGUGGACCUGACUAAUACAUAUUUUUUUGGUGAGAGAUAUUAUUCAUAUGUUCUCAGCCAUGUACCCAUAAUUAAUAAACUAAUGGUUUUUUUGUUGGGCUGUUGCUGCCUCCAAUCUUUUGCCCGGCAAACAAAUGCUCAAUAUUUAUUUGUUUUCUCCUUCCUACGAGUGCUUCGUCCUUGUAUCUGUUGGUGGAAUACAAUGUUCUUUAUUCUCCAUGUUUUGGUUAAUAUCAAUUUCCAUGCUUCAUGUUUGUUUACCUUUAUCAUUUUUGCACUGUCUUGUAUUAAAACAGGAUUCUUUACUCAAAUCCUGCUAAUAACUAAAGCCUUUCAAGGAUGUUGCUUCAAUAUGGAAAGAUGUUCCCCUGCAAGUUUUUUGAUUGUUACAACAAAGACUACUUUUUGAGUUGUCGAGGCGAGUUGAUGAUCUAACCACUAGCGGCUGAGAAACUUCAUUUAGAAUGUGACGUGUCAUGUACUUAUAGGCUAAUCGAGUGACCUUUUUGUUAUCUAUGGAAUAUGAAUCUCCAAAUUUUGUGCGUGCUCUAAGCAGUAAGCACUCAAAAUUUGUGGUUGUAAACAAUAUUUAACCUUGUUAUUCUUCACAAAUAGUGUAAUGACAUAGGAAGAUAUAAACAUGGUAUUUUCUGAUGGUCUCUUUUAAAUUGGGCCAGUAAUUUUAUUUGUGUAGAUAACAACAUGUGGACCUCCUUCAGAGUCAUGGGAAGAAAAACUUUGGGUUAAAAGCAAAUUUAAACACAUUGUAUUUUUCGGAUUUUGUGAUUUAUGAUGUUCAGGUCAAGGAUGUCAAGUUCUGCUUCUCUGUUUCGAACCUUUUAUUCUCUGUUUGGCCUAUAACUUGUAUUGCCUUAUUGGUAAAGAUUUAAAUUAAGCCUUGCUGCUACAAACUUUUAUUUUCUUGGAGAAGAUUGUAUUCAUUGGUUGGUGAGUUGAUCUAUUUGUGAUUUGUACCUCGGUUGACAGAACAUCUGAUAUUUGAAAUGAUGAAUCGGGGAUCUUAGGGUCAUUAGAGCAUAUGUAACUCGGGAACAACGACAAGUUGUUUAUGUUGAAGGUGAUCACACCUUGAUUGCUGGACAUGAUCGGAUUCAGUUAGAUGUGAUAUUGGGGUCCAAAAAGAUUGAGGUUUGUACAACUCCUAAAAGUUCAUCUAAUCCUUUCAAGCACUCAGUCCCUUUUAGGGUUAUGUUUGUUUCACCUAAUUAAUAAUUGGAAUUUGUUGGCACCAAACAUUAGUCUACACUCGUAUUUAUGAUGAGAACUAUGAAAAUUUAUUUUGUAGUACAUUGUGGUUUAUUAGUGUUCUACAGACUAUGGUCAUUUGUGUUAUGUUCUCUAUUAUAAACUGUCACAAUAUUUGGCCAAACCUUGCGUACAUCCUGUACAUACUUUUCUCAGUUUAAGCCCCCAUUCAGCAUUCUGGUGAUUAUGCCAAUCACCGUUGUCUGAACCCUGAUUUAGAUGUUUGGAAGCGUGUCUAGCUGCCUUUUUCUGAGGUUGCUGACAAAUAUACUACUGUCUCUUCCAAAACAUAUGGUAUGAAAUUUAGCUACAACCAUUUGACUGUCUCUUCCAAACCUUCCUUGCUUUUGCAAAUAAUACUUUAUGGUUGGCACUAUUGUCUAUAUCUGCCAAAUAUUUACAUGUUAGUAUAGCCAGAAAUUCAGAUGCCACACAUUAGUGAUGGUUUGUUAUUCAUCAUUCCAUGUUGGUUAGCCAUGAUAAAUUUGAUUUCUAGAGUAGCAGAUGAUUCAUGUCAGGUUUCUUUUAGAGAUUGAAAUAUGCGUUGACUCUGAAAUAAGUAGUACGCCGUCCAGUUCUGCAUAGGUGAAAGCAUACUGAUCCCAUUUACAUACUAUGCAAAACUGGACGGCCUUCUAAAUAUUUAAAACUACUAUUUGUUGUGUAAUCUGUAUCACCUCUUCAUACUCUGUAUAUGCUUUCGACUUACUCCCUCCGUCUGAAAAAACUUGUCCCUCAAAUACAUGUAUCUAGCACCAAGUUAGUGCUAGAUACAUCCAUUUGAAAGAUAAGCUUGAGACAAGUUUUUCUGGACGGAGGGAGUACUAGGUAAAAGUGCGUGAGAAUGAUGGCCUUUUAUUCAUUCAAGAGCUCUAAAUGACACCGUUGUAUUGGCAACAUAUUCAGUCAUUUCGGAUCAUCUUGUUGGUGUGUGCUGUAAAAUGAGUUGUGACAUUUGUUGGUAUGUGCUGUAAAAAACUGAAAAAAAGCAGUUCAUGUUUAUUUUUCUUCUGAAUUUUGUUCCCCUGUAAGAUGUGGCCUACUGUAUACUCUUGGGAUAAAUGAGUUGUGACAUUUGUUGUUGUCC